rnacentral:rRNA from 1 species
UACGUAGGUGGCAAGCGUUGUCCGGAAUUAUUGGGCGUAAAGCGCGCGCAGGCGGUCCUUUAAGUCGGAGGGGAAAGCCCACGGCUCAACCGUGGAGGGUCAUUGGAAACUGGGGGACUUGAGUGCAGGAGAGAAGAGUGGAAUUCCACGUGUAGCGGUGAAAUGCGUAGAGAUGUGGAGGAACACCAGUGGCGAAGGCGACUCUUUGGCCUGUAACUGACGCUGAGGCGCGAAAGCGUGGGGAGCAAACAGG